GAAUUUAGUUGAGUUCGCGGCGUUAACAAUUCGAUAUGACGAGAAUAGUACUUUUCGCGCUUUCCCUCUGCCUCUUCUGCAUUUACGUCUGCAAUUGUGAGGAAGUUGCACCCGGCGACACAAUACCGUUAACACCACAAAUGGGUGAAGCAAAGCAAAUCCCCGUUAUUGCACUGAGUCGCCAAAGGCGUUUCACCUGCAACAGCUAUGCCUGCAAAGCGCAUUGCAUAUUGCUCGGGAGAGGAAGUGACGGUUACUGUAAUCGCCAGCAUGUGUGCGCUUGUCGCUGAUAAGCAUUCACAGCAGCGCGUUGAGGGGCGCGUUUAUUUACUAUUUUCGCAAGUAUUUUGCACUAUUUCAUUUAAUUUAAAAUAAAAAAAAACAUUUUUAAUUUGAAAAUUAUCAACAAAAAUGGGAAAAAACGUUUUUAAUUAAUUAAUUGCUUCGAAAGUUUGCUCAUCGUUUCAACGGCCAUAAAGCGUUUCAAUGAAGCAAUGAAAGGAUAGAUGCACCGUUGUGAUGAUCAGUGCUACCGAUAACGAAUAAAUGGUUUGUAUGGUAUGUGAAUUCACACGCUCACAGCGUGAAUUAAAUAAACAGAAUUAGAAAUUGUCGAAAAAUAUAGAAAAAUUGUGCAUAAUUUAGGAAAAUCAAAAUUCUGUGACCGUGCAAUUUCUUAUGCUUUGUUGAAGAUUUUAAUAAGUGAGGCGCGUCGCCGUCGCCACCAUCUGGUCCAAUCAACUGACUUAACACCAACGAGCGACCGUUGUUGUUAACAAGUGGUCUUGUUGUAUGCAUGCAUGUAUGUAUGUAUUUUCUUCUUUUAUUGAGCACAUCAAUAACGCACACAGUUGGUGGGCGCGGCAGUUUUGGAAACAUUUCGACGCAUAUACAUUAUAUUUCGAAAGUGACUACAUUAUCUACAUUUUGAUGAUAUCUAUUAUUAUCAAUAGGAUAGGAUUUAGGAUUAUCGUAAUGAAGGAUCAGCAGUCACAAUCCAAUGUAAAAACGACUUGUUUUUUAGUGUUCAACAACAAUCUUCAUCGAGUAAUGCUUUCAGUUCCUCAGCUUCAUACUUUUUUGUCGUCCAGGACAUUCUUGGUCUUCGAAGCCAAAUCACCACUCUGAAAUAGUUCAAACCACUUUUAGCACUUUCGCUCAGCCAGAAUAUGUUUACAAUAAACUUGCACAAAAAUACGAUGA